ACAUUAAUCCCUUUUGUAAAGUUUCUCCUUAUGAGAAGUCCUUAUUAGUGUCUCUUUUGCCCAAUAUUGACUUUAACCUAGCUAUAGCAGUAUUAAUUCAUUAUAUUGGGGUAAGAGAUAGAGAUUUUCUCACCAGUCAUUUUUACUCUUGAAACAAAAAAGUUGAAGAGUCAAUUAUCGUUGAUUCAUUUGCAGAAUAUUGCAAAAGGUAUCUGCAGUAUAAGCAGCGCAACCCACUAAUGGAUCGCUUCCCGAUAAUGGUCAGGUACCACUACGUACUAGUCUAGUCUUUUUCCAUCUUUCUGUCUUCUUUCCUUCUUAUGUCAAAAUACCAAACUAAUUGCCCCGGCGAUAUCACCAGUUUAAUUAAUUCACUACCUUCUAUCUCCCAAUACAAUCUUCUAACUCCUUCCUCUCAUGAUGCAAUUUACUGAGAGUUUACCACCAUCACUUCACCAACAAGUUUCAC
rnacentral:lncRNA from 1 species